GACGAACGCUGGCGGCGUGCUUAACACAUGCAAGUCGAACGGAAAGGCCCUGCUUUUGUGGGGUGCUCGAGUGGCGAACGGGUGAGUAACACGUGAGUAACCUGCCCUUGACUUUGGGAUAACUUCAGGAAACUGGGGCUAAUACCGGAUAGGAGCUCCUGCUGCAUGGUGGGGGUUGGAAAGUUUCGGCGGUUGGGGAUGGACUCGCGGCUUAUCAGCUUGUUGGUGGGGUAGUGGCUUACCAAGGCUUCGACGGGUAGCCGGCCUGAGAGGGUGACCGGCCACAUUGGGACUGAGAUACGGCCCAGACUCCUACGGGAGGCAGCAGUGGGGAAUAUUGCACAAUGGGCGGAAGCCUGAUGCAGCAACGCCGCGUGCGGGAUGACGGCCUUCGGGUUGUAAACCGCUUUCGCCUGUGACGAGGCGUGAGUGACGGUAAUGGGUAAAGAAGCACCGGCUAACUACGUGCCAGCAGCCGCGGUGAUACGUAGGGUGCGAGCGUUGUCCGGAUUUAUUGGGCGUAAAGGGCUCGUAGGUGGUUGAUCGCGUCGGAAGUGUAAUCUUGGGGCUUAACCCUGAGCGUGCUUUCGAUACGGGUUGACUUGAGGAAGGUAGGGGAGAAUGGAAUUCCUAGUGGAGCGGUGGAAUGCGCAGAUAUCAGGAGGAACACCAGUGGCGAAGGCGGUUCUCUGGGCCUUUCCUGACGCUGAGGAGCGAAAGCGUGGGGAGCGAACAGGCUUAGAUACCCUGGUAGUCCACGCUGUAAACGGUGGGUACUAGGUGUGGGGUCCAUUCCACGGGUUCCGUGCCGUAGCUAACGCUUUAAGUACCCCGCCUGGGGAGUACGGCCGCAAGGCUAAAACUCAAAGGAAUUGACGGGGCCCCGCACAAGCGGCGGAGCAUGCGGAUUAAUUCGAUGCAACGCGUAGAACCUUACCUGGGUUUGACAUGGAUCGGGAGUGCUCAGAGAUGGGUGUGCCUCUUUUGGGGUCGGUUCACAGGUGGUGCAUGGCUGUCGUCAGCUCGUGUCGUGAGAUGUUGGGUUAAGUCCCGCAACGAGCGCAACCCUUGUUCACUGUUGCCAGCACGUUAUGGUGGGGACUCAGUGGAGACCGCCGGGGUCAACUCGGAGGAAGGUGGGGAUGACGUCAAGUCAUCAUGCCCCUUAUGUCCAGGGCUUCACGCAUGCUACAAUGGCUGGUACAGAGAGUGGCGAGCCUGUGAGGGUGAGCGAAUCUCGGAAAGCCGGUCUCAGUUCGGAUUGGGGUCUGCAACUCGACCUCAUGAAGUCGGAGUCGCUAGUAAUCGCAGAUCAGCAACGCUGCGGUGAAUACGUUCCCGGGGCU
rnacentral:rRNA from 1 species